AAUAGAUACCCUGGUAGUCCACGCCGUAAACGAUGAGUGCUAAGUGUUAGAGGGUUUCCGCCCUUUAGUGCUGCAGCAAACGCAUUAAGCACUCCGCCUGGGGAGUACGGUCGCAAGACUGAAACUCAAAGGAAUUGACGGGGGCCCGCACAAGCGGUGGAGCAUGUGGUUUAAUUCGAAGCAACGCGAAGAACCUUACCAGGUCUUGACAUCCUUAUGACUUCUCUAGAGAUAGAGCUUUCCCUUCGGGGACAUAAGUGACAGGUGGUGCAUGGUUGUCGUCAGCUCGUGUCGUGAGAUGUUGGGUUAAGUCCCGCAACGAGCGCAACCCUUGAUCUUAGUUGCCAGCAUUCAGUUGGGCACUCUAAGGUGACUGCCGGUGACAAACCGGAGGAAGGUGGGGAUGACGUCAAAUCAUCAUGCCCCUUAUGACCUGGGCUACACACGUGCUACAAUGGAUGGUACAAAGGGUAGCGAGACCGCGAGGUUUAGCCAAUCCCAUAAAACCCAUUCUCAGUUCGGAUUGC
rnacentral:rRNA from 1 species